CCUACGGGAGGCAGCAGUGAGGAAUAUUGGUCAAUGGACGAGAGUCUGAACCAGCCAAGUAGCGUGAAGGAUGACUGCCCUAUGGGUUGUAAACUUCUUUUAUAAAGGAAUAAAACGAGGCACGUGUGCCUUUUUGCAUGUACUUUAUGAUUAAGGAUCGGCUAACUCCGUGCCAGCAGCCGCGGUAAUACGGAGGAUCCGAGCGUUAUCCGGAUUUAUUGGGUUUAAAGGGAGCGUAGAUGGGUUGUUAAGUCAGUUGUGAAAGUUUGCGGCUCAACCGUAAAAUUGCAAUUGAUACUGGAAGUCUUGAGUACAGUUGAGGUAGGCGGAAUUCGUGGUGUAGCGGUGAAAUGCUUAGAUAUCACGAAGAACCCCGAUUGCGAAGGCAGCUUACUAAACUGUGACUGACAUUGAUGCUCGAAAGUGUGGGUAUCAAACAGGAUUAGAUACCCGAGUAGUC
rnacentral:rRNA from 1 species